rnacentral:rRNA from 1 species
GAAAGGCGGGCUAAACCCGCGUACAUGCCACCGGGGCAUCCCGGAGGCAGGAAAGGCUUCGGCCGGACAGGGAUGGGCAUGCGGCGCAUUAGGCAGUAGGCGGGGUAACGGCCCACCUAACCGACGAUGCGUAGGGGUUCUGAGAGGAAGGUCCCCCACACUGGUACUGAGACACGGACCAGACUCCUACGGGAGGCAGCAGUGAGGAAUAUUGGUCAAUGGUCGGGAGACUGAACCAGCCAAGCCGCGUGAGGGAGGAAGGUACAGAGUAUCGUAAACCUCUUUUGUCAGGGAACAAAGACUGGGACGCGUCCCCGGAUGAGUGUACCUGAAGAAAAAGCAUCGGCUAACUCCGUGCCAGCAGCCGCGGUAAUACGGAGGAUGCGAGCGUUAUCCGGAUUUAUUGGGUUUAAAGGGUGCGCAGGCGGUCUGUUAAGUCAGCGGUCAAAGCCCGGGGCUCAACCCCGGCCCGCCGUUGAAACUGGCAGUCUCGAGUUGGAGAGAAGUAUGUGGAAUGCGCGGUGUAGCGGUGAAAUGCAUAGAUAUCGCGCAGAACUCCGAUUGCGAAGGCAGCAUGCCGGCUCCACACUGACGCUGAGGCACGAAAGCGUGGGUAUCGAACAGGAUUAGAUACCCUGGUAGUCC